rnacentral:tRNA from 1 species
UCCCUGGUGGCUGAGAGGUUAAAGCGUCUGCCUGCAAUGCAGGAGACCCGGGAU